CACGUAGGAUCCAAGCGUUAUCCGGAUUUACUGGGCGUAAAGCGCGUGUAGGUGGUUUGUUAAGUUGGGUGUUAAAUCUCUCGGCUCAACUGAGAGAUGUCGCUCAAAACUAGCAGACUGGAGGACGGUAGAGGAAGGUAGAAUUCCGGGUGUAGUGGUGAAAUGCGUAGAUAUCCGGAGGAAUACCAGUGGCGAAGGCGGCCUUCUGGACCGUUCCUGACACUCAGACGCGAAAGCUAGGGGAGCAAACGGG
rnacentral:rRNA from 1 species